CAUUGCGCUCAUUUUGUCAACGUUCUUCCGUCCACAUAGACGAUGAGCAGCUGAGGCAGUGACUGAAGGCGACGUGUUAAGCUUAAAAAGCGCCUUUAUGUUUCUUUCUUACCAAUUUUAAGCCAACUGAGGAACACCCUAAUCCCAAGUAAUGGUUUGACUACGAUGUUCCGGUAACUUUAAACCACGCCUGGUGUUGAAAAGGUGGCCAGUUUCAGAUGCAUUGAUGUUUAGUGAUGCAGUGGACAACUGUGAGGAUGAUACAAUCAACAUGUUCCUAAACUGUGAUGCAGAAACACAAUGGGAGCAUCUAUCCGUCUCUGACCACAACUACAAAAUCACAACUCAACCUGAAGCAACAUACAUCUGAUAUGGGAAAACAAUGGUGCGGUUUCCCGGACACAGGGUUCCCGCGGGGUCUUAAAAAGCCUUAAAAGCAUUGAAUUUAUGAAUUUGGAAAUAAUACCUUAAAAAGACUUAAAAAAGUCUUAAAUUUUGAUGUCUUGGUCUUAAAAAUUGUGCUGUAUGUAACUUCUCCAUAUUGUAUUUUUCCUUAAAAGUUUCUUUGUCAACCACAUUUUGAUUAAAUCAGGGAUGCAAACACAUCGCUUUUCGGCGCCUGCGGCUUUUCAUUAUUAAUGGCAUUUUGGUUGCGAGCACAUCGUGUCUCUCCCGAUGAGUCUGCUGUUUCUCGAUGAAUUGGGUGCGACAUGAAGCGAGUUCAGCGUCACAUGUUUCUGAACUUGAGCAGAGUUGUAUGCAUAGAGGUUUUCACGGAGGACCGGGUCCGAUUAACAUUAUGUGUAAAACCCGAGGCGAUCGGAAAACGGCCGUGAUCAGAGUCAGUCAGCGCUAAAGUUCACGUGCAGUUUCAAGCUGCGUGCCUCCGUUUCUAUUGCGAUAACUACUGGCUUGGUUUGAAAGUCACGACCACGCGCUGCAGUUUCUUUCUCCGUCCCUUUGUUUAAUAAUAUUAUUAUUAAUGAACCAUCUUUUUAUAUCUAAAAAGUUUGCUCAAAGAUCACAAAGAUAGUAGCAAAAAAGAAAUGUGAAUGUCAAGCCCAUUGCACGAGCAAAGCUCAAGCUGACUCUAGAUAUAAAAAACGCAAAGCUAUAAUAUAAAGUCACCAAACACUGGGACAGCAAGUACACUUUUGAAUCUAAAAUAAUAAGUGGAUAAAGCUCUUUUAAUCUGCAAGAGAGGAAUCAAAAGAGGCACUUUUACUGCUUCUGCUCUAUCUAAAAAGGAAAGAAAACUACAUAAACCAUAACACACCAAUUACAUUUAUAAUCUCUAGACCUGCACUUUCUAUCAUUAAUAUACUAUACAUAUUAUUGUAUUCAAAAGAGUUUGAUAAAAGGGGUCAUCUACACAAGUAUUGCUUGAUAUGUCAGUGCAAAAACAGUAAAGUGUUUUGUGAUGCUUUGACAAACAUUGUCAGCUUUGUUCAUUUAUGAUUGGGUUUAUUAAAUAUAAUGUGAAAUUAAUAUAAAUGAAUGCAGCCAGAUGGAAGGCCCUGGUUACGUUGCAGGAGGUGGCCAGGAAGAAGAGGAAGGAGUAAAGCAAGAAGAAGUGCUAGAUAGUUCAAUAAGAGUUUUGGUUUAACAUAAAAAAUGAAGUUGAAUAUUCCAAAUUAAUGUCGGCAUCUUUUGAUUUUCGAAUUUCAUUUUACUCUAUAUACCUAGUUUGGUAGGGAUGGCAGGGGUCGGUGGCAAUGUAGCCUAAGUAUCUGGAUAUUUGCCUGGGUGCGAGGGCUUAGAUUACCUUUCUCUUUUUGAACAUACAUGUGUUUGCAUCUCUGUUUGUUUAAUAACGUAGUAUAAAUAAAGAGUAGCGGAUCCAAUAAUUGAGAACGCAACACAGUCCCAGGUCACAGUACAAAGUAUUGCGAACACGUGAUGCUUUCAGUAAAUGAAGAUCACCACAACCAUAGACUGCAACACAACACAGCAACAGGCAAAGGAGAAGCGGGAAAAAUCAAAGAAAAUCUCAGAAAUUCCUUAACAACUUAACAUUGUUUGGCAAACUUUCUUGUGGCCUACUGAAUUUUUUUUUCACACCUGCUUGGCUUAUCAUCUUUUUACCCAUUUAACAUCGGAAAAAUAAAUGAACACAAGUUCAAGGAUUUUAGUUUUUCUUUGCUGGUACGGACGUGAAAUGGGUAUUAAUUUUUUAUAUAAAUGGUCUUAAAAAGGUCUUAAAAAGACUUGAAUUUAACUUGAAGAAACCUGUAGGAACCCUGCGGACAGGGCUUAUCCUGGUCCCAGGCUAAAAUGCAUAUUUGAGCUACAAUAAUUUAAAAACACCUUUUACUGACAUACCUCAACAUAUAUGAGUGCCAUUGUUUUGUCACAAGAUGCGCACCAGUCUUGUUUUUUUGUAGGAUUUGUUUGUAAAAACUAAAAUGUCCUAAUAUAAUUAAGGCCUAGUCCUGUAAACCCUGUCCGAGAAACUGCUUCAAUGUGUUGAGCUGGCACAAAUGUACAUAACUCUACUGAGAAACAACCAUCUUUGGUUCAGCUUUACACAGGGUUGAUAUUGCAUCCAUUACACAGUCGCCAAGCACUUUACCAGUACAUACACCAACAGCUUCCAGAUAUACGCUUGGGAUCAGCUCCUGAUGAAUCCGAUAAAGCUGUGUCUUAAUUUAUUGCAGGGUGGUCUUGCUUUACCUGUUGUAAAGUUACAUUAAACCUUCAUAUGUGAUCAGAUGUCAUGCAGUGAUAUUAAACAUUUACAGUGUGAUCAGAUGUUGUGCAUUUAUAUUAAACCUUUACAAUGUGAUCA